GGAAGACAAAAUGAUCUAUAAGAUUAGGCAGAAAGAGGCUAAGCAAGUUAUAAGAGCUUCCAAAUCACACACAGAAGAGAAAAUAGCACAGUCAGUAAAAAAGGGAGAUAAAACAUUUUUUAGAUACAUAAAUGAGAAAAGAAAAGUAAAACAAGGAUUAGUUAGAUUAAAAACAAAAGAAGGAAGGUAUGUAGAAGAGGA